UACUAAACAACACUCUCAUCUCAUCUGAUCUUCCUCAGGGAAUCCAAAUUAGAGAUGGAGGAAUUCAACGAGUUUGAUUAUUCACUUAGAUGAUGAUAUCAUCAUAAAAAUGUUUCUGUAUUCUCAAGUUGUGUGAAGCAUUUGUUUGCUGUGGUUGCUAAUCCAUAUUGUAUACUCUUUGAAGUCUGCAACCCAAUUAUCCAUUACUGAAGAUUGUGAUAAGAAGACUGUGUGAUAGAUUAUUUGAGGUAUCAAUCUUGUUCCUAUUUGAAGAGCAAUUGGAGAUAAGCUGGAAAAGAGCAGCUAUCACAAACGAGUUCGGUUUCGGAUUCGUCGGUCCAAAUGGCCUUUUAACUGGUAUGUUGUUCUUGCACAACUUCACAUAUUUGCUCAAAGUUUAAUUCAUCAAAUACACACUGAAUCGUACAAUUUCUAUACACAUUCUAAGUAUAUACAAUUUUGGGUCAUUUAUGGGAGACAUGACUCGCACCAGUAGAACCACAUCUAACCCAUAUUCCACGGGGAAUUGGAGAUAAUGCUGCCCAGAGAAUCACACAUUCUAGAAGGAUUAAAGUAGUAGAAGAACCACAUCAAAAAACUCAUAUUGGCCAUUACUGUUGUACAGGGAGUCCCUAGAUGGUGGUAAAUCCAGAGAAUUUAUCUGGUUUUGCAAGCUAGAGAAGUGUGGAUAUCCUUGAUGUUGGUGUCCUAUAGGACUUGCCAUUGAAAAACAAACACUUAGUUGUCUUAGUUCAUUGAAUUUUGGGUUACAUAUUGAAGGAGAAAAAACUAAAGGAUGAAAUUCAGGAGCGUAACUCUGGAUUGCAAAAUCAAGAUGCAUACGUCGAGGAGACCGGGUGGAGUAUAAGAAGCUGGAAUACAGCAUUCCCAAGAUCCUGGAUGAUGCUACUUCUGGUGUGAGUAAUUGUUUCAGUACUGUGUGUAUUUUCCUUCUAUAAGUUUUGUGGUUGUGGGAGCAGUAAGUGGUACAACUAAGCUGUGGGACUUGGAUGAAGCAAAGAGUAUAUCUCCACAUGUGGUAUGAAUUUUAGAUUCACCCCAGGUGGAUGUUGGGCUGUUCCCAGUGAAGGCACAACACUGUCAAGGGGAGGAUCUGAUUGAAACAAGGGAAGAGAAAAGAAGAAAUAACGAGCGAUGGUUUCCUAGCUCACCGUAGCGUGUUGGUUAUGGAACCUAUGAAGCUAAAACGCUACAAGGUAUGUCUUCCAUGUGCAAUAUUUAGAAGUCUAUGCGUGUAUUGAUUUUGUGUCGCCCAGCUAUAGUAUUACUUUUGAACUCAUCUCUUGCGGUCUUAGCUCAGUUGGUAGAGCAUAUGGCUUUUUGCCAUAAGGUCGUGGGUUCGAUUUCCACAGACGGAAUACAAAUUACUUAAGGUUGCAUAUAUUGCUUAGACUGUACAUCUUACUAACCCCGGUAACAUCUAACAAUUGCUUAGACUGCACAUCUUAUUGUUAAGUCAGAACUCUGGACACUUUUGGAGCAGUAUCAAGCUUAGUAAUGUCAGAUGCCAAAUAUGAAAUGCCAGUAACGAUAGAAUUUGGAAUCCAUGCAGGAGGGGAAGUUGUAGCUAACUUGUUUAGUCCAGGCACCUGGAAGGUGGAAACACAUUACUUGUCCCGUGUUUAGCAAGACUAACCAGUCAAAAAAUUUCCAUUUCAUUACAAUAGAGGUGUUUUAAUGUCUGUUUCUUCAUUACGAGGAGUGUAUGUUCUAGGGAAUAAUUUGUGUUUACUGAUAAUUCUGCUACUAUUUCAUGGUAUUAGAUCUCAACCAAUCUCUGCAGGGUAGCAAAAUGUAUGAACCUUAGAGUAAGAUGUCUAAAUUAUCAUGGCAUGAACUAUCUGACAGAAAUGCUCAAAUUAAAAUGGUAUUGAAUGAAACUUAGAGCAAAAUGUAUGAGCAGUUUCUUAAAUAAAACCCAUAAUCCAAUAAAAGAGAACCCACUACAGGGGCAAUAAAAAAAAAAAACUAAAAGAAACAUAAAAGAUUGAAAAUAAGCACUGACAGUAGAGAAUGAGGUCACUAACAGUGCAGCAACGACCCAACUGAAGUAAACAAUUCUGCUGCCCAUCUUGAUGAGACCUGGUGGAUAUGUUGUUGCUCCUUCAUCAACACUCAAAGCUUCAGCAAACCAGAAACACCCGUGAAACUCAAUGGACUUGAGAUGCCGCAGCAAACAGUGAGGAACCAAAUCUAGCGACCACUCGUCAGAUGGGUAAGCUUCAUAGUCACAAAAUCCAUCAACAAAGAUGAGUGACUCCAUAUUUGGUGA